AACGCACAUUGCGCCCCUUGGUAUUCCGAGGGGCAUGCCUGUUCGAGCGUCAUUAUAACCACUCAAGCCUCGGCUUGGUAUUGGGGUUCGCGGUCUCGCGGCCCUUAAAACUAGUGGCGGUGCCAUCUGGCUCUAAGCGUAGUAAUUCUCUCGCUACAGGGUCUUGGUGGUUACUUGCCAAAACCCCCCUAUUUUCUAUGGUUGACCUCGGAUCAGGUAGGGAUACCCGCUGAACUUAA
rnacentral:misc_RNA from 1 species